ensembl:antisense 4930444E06Rik RIKEN cDNA 4930444E06 gene
AGAGGUGGUGCACGCCUUUAAUCUCAGCACUUGGGAGGCAGAGGCAGGGAGGAGAGUUCAGUCUGAGGAUUUUCAUCUCAAGAUCUGCAUCGAGGCCUGACCUGUCCCUAAUAUCGGAGACACAGAGCCCUCCCCCAGAAUCAGGAGCCUCAGGCACCCCCAGCUCCUGAGCACACUAACUUUGAUGCUGUUUUAUGUAGAGAAUCUAAAAGGAAGGAAAAGGGCUUUUAGCCUCAGGUGACAGCCUCCUCUUAGACCCGGUGAGGCCAAGGCUAAGGCGUCUGGGUUCGAGGAAGAGCAGAAUCUCACUCCCUUCUGGGGCUCCUCUCGUCUCGGUGUCAGAGGUGGCCAGGUUUUACAUUAUAUGCCACCAGUUAUCACUACUGAAGAUAGCUCAGAUGUACGGUUGCCCUGGAAACUGCUGCUUACAUCAUCUAGAAUUUGGAAGGAGCCUUGUAAUAGUAAAGUGUUUGAAACCAUCUACCCUUGGGCACGAGCAGGACCCAGCAAGUGAGCUUUUGACCUCAGUGGCCCCCAAACUCCACCCCAAAAGACCUCUCUAAGGCAUUAUUUUCUGAACUCACACCCUGUGAAGACUGCCUGUCCACACACGUGCAGCCUGUUCCAUUUUUCUCAUCUUUGCCUGCUUUAGACCACCAUUUAUAUAAACGAACUCUCCCCUCUUCAAGUUUUCUUAAGAGAAAAUAGGUAGGAUUUGUCUUUCUGAGUCUGGUUUAUUUUGCUUGAUACAAUGAUCUCCAGUUCUUGGGUUGUUUUUCAACAUGGAAUCUGGGGAUCAAACUAAGUUUGGUUCUCAUGGGGACAAGGUAAUUUAACAACAGAAAGAUCUUCCCAGUAACCAUUAUGCCCCAUAACACCUCUCUCUCUCUCUCUCUCUCUCUCUCUCUCUCUCUCUCUCACACACACACACACACACACACACACACACACACACACACAGGUUAAGUGGUCAACUUGCCCCAAAAACAUUUUGCUAUCUAUCCUUCUGAAAUUAAGUCCUUCAAUAGAGCAUGCUCAUAAAUGGGCCAACUUUACAUGGCUAUAUUCAAGCUCCCUGAAUAGAGUCUGUUUGUUUGUAUUGGACUACCUCUCAGGCUCGCCUCGACUGGCUAUAGCUCCCCAGCUUUUACAUCUUGGCUGUUCAUGUUCUGGCUUAGUAUUCAACAGAUGCAGUCCAGUGUAUUCUAUGCCAGUGUAAAGCCCACACCUCCCUCAUUAAACCUUACUGGGGUGGC